UGGGGAAUUUUGGACAAUUGGGCGAAAGCCUGAUCCAGCAAUGCCGCGUGUGUGAAGAAGGCCUUCGGGUUGUAAAGCACUUUUGUCCGGAAAGAAAUCCUUGGCUCUAAUACAGUCGGGGGAUGACGGUACCGGAAGAAUAAGCACCGGCUAACUACGUGCCAGCAGCCGCGGUAAUACGUAGGGUGCAAGCGUUAAUCGGAAUUACUGGGCGUAAGCGUGCGCAGGCGGUUUGCUAAGACCGAUGUGAAAUCCCCGGGCUCAACCUGGGAACUGCAUUGGUGACUGGCAGGCUAGAGUAUGGCAGAGGGGGGUAGAAUUCCACGUGUAGCAGUGAAAUGCGUAGAGAUGUGGAGGAAUACCGAUGGCGAAGGCAGCCCCCUGGGCAAUACUGACGCUCAUGCACG
rnacentral:rRNA from 1 species